GAUGAACGCUAGCUACAGGCUUAACACAUGCAAGUCGAGGGGCAGCAUUUCAGUUUGCUUGCAAACUGGAGAUGGCGACCGGCGCACGGGUGAGUAACACGUAUCCAACCUGCCGAUAACUCGGGGAUAGCCUUUCGAAAGAAAGAUUAAUACCCGAUGGUAUAAUCAGACCGCAUGGUCUUGUUAUUAAAGAAUUUCGGUUAUCGAUGGGGAUGCGUUCCAUUAGGCAGUUGGUGAGGUAACGGCUCACCAAACCUUCGAUGGAUAGGGUUCGUGAGAGGAAGGUCCCCCGACCAUUGGUAACUGAGACACGGUCCGAAACUACCUACGGGAGGGCAGCAGUGAGGAAUAUUGGUUCAAUGGGCGCAGGCCUGAACCAGCAAGUAGCGUGAAGGGAUGACUGCCCUAUGGGUUGUAAACUUC
rnacentral:rRNA from 1 species